AAAUCGAGCUUCAUGAUGCAUCAUGGGAUAAACAACUACUUCAAUCACAACAGCUACCUAAAACAGCUAUACAUAGAGGCGUUGACUCUUGCAGCAUCCAGAAAAUACAUUGUCUUUGUCUGAAGUUGAGAGUCAUGACAAAAACGAAAGACAUGCUUCCGCGGCAACAAAAACAACUGCUUACACCUCUUAUCUUUGAAUUAGAGGUGUUGGUUUGUUGGUGGAGGCUGCAGCGAUGGGUGAUGCAGAAGCUCUAUUUGAAUUAGAUUGUCGUUUAAGAGUUGAGGUGUGAUUUUCUUUAUGUAGUUUUUUUCAAGAAUGACUAUCCUAUACCACCUGCCAUUCAUGCAUUUAAUUAAUCUCUCUUUUUCGAUGUUCUGUAGCAUUUCUAGCAACUUGUUUAAUUUGCUUGGUAAAAGAUAUGACUGGUCCACUGGAGUUUAUAUUGCACAAUCAGUGUUCCAUCACUUCUGAAUUCAUAUGGGUUGAUUAUACUCUGUUAUAAUUAGAAAAGUUAAGAUUGAGCCAGGUGAGUGAUCAUAUAUCUCGAUGUGUAUGAUUCUUUUUUCAUUAAUGUUUCUUCGUUUGUUCUUUUGCCGCUUCUUACUUUUACAUAGUCUUACAUAGUUUUGGAGAACCAUAAAUACAGUGGUAAAAAGUUAUGGUUUAUGUUUUCCCUUGCAUUUCUUUUUAAAUUUUUUAUAUCUGUUGCUUGGUUGGAUAUCCAAUGGAUUACGUUUAUGUAUGUUUUUGGCUAAUAUAUACUUUUUUUCCAACGCAGUUGUGGUCGGUCUUAGAGGUAAAAGAUAAACAAGGAGGAGCUCUUUCUACACUCUGUUCGUUUAUUAUUUAACCCUGAAAAUCAACUCAAUAGCAUUGGAAAAGAGUGGAAUAUGUGCAAGAUGAAUCACUUGGUACGAUUUUUAAUGUUCAUAAAGCACGAGUGAGGAAUCGACAUCAUACUCAUUUGCUACUCCAAAAAAUCAUGACAUCUUAGAUGGACCAUUAUCAAAUCUCCACUUUAGCCACUAAGGGAAUGGGCAAGCAACUAUUUGAAAAAUACAAAGCAAUGAAAUAUUUCUGGUAAUGGACAAUAUUUGCAAUACCGCUAUGUGAUUUAUGUGUCCAUGGUGCAAAGUACGAACAGUGGUAGAAAUACAUUUUGUUGUUUAGAGUCUACACAUAUGUGAACGCAAUAUUAGACACAAAGAAAUGACAUUAAAAUUCAUGUUGUUGGGCCCGUGCAUUGCACGGGCAAUACUUAUCUAGUAUAUA